UUUACUUUUGGUGUCUAUUUUUAAUUGUUGCGCUACUGGUGCUGCCUGUUGAUGUUAGGUAGGCAGCUACAGUAGCUGAAUGAUGUUAACAUCUUCGGGUUUUGUUUCAUUAAAUGUAUUUUAUUUCAUCCGGGUGCUACUAACACCCUGGUACUACCCGUAGCUCCCGCUCUUCUCAGUCAGAGAAAACUCUUGAGAGAGGAAGGUAUGUGUUGUAGAAUACUCCUUUGUAGAAGUCCAUAACGUGAAAUAAAUAAAGCAUCCCAAGGUUAAUGCUGUAGAUAUUGUUCUAAGGGAAUGUGAGACUAUUGAAACAUGUAACUUUCAGAGUUUAAUUGUUGUUAUUAAUAUAGUUUACAGAGUGCUAAAAGUGUUGCUAGCUAGCAUGCCUUUCUGUGAUGCAGACGGUUAGCUAAGCUGCCGACUGGUGCUGGCGUUGCAUUAUGGGAGAUGUAGUUUGGUCCUCUACGGUCAGAAUGGAAUAUAGGCGAUGUCACGUUAUAACUUGUUUAUGUUGCAUUGUUUUUGUACAUGAGUUGUUGUAUUUUGGUACUGUCAACACUGAAAGCACCUAGCAAUGUAUUGGGGAUGUGAGACAGGAUAUGUGUUUUGCCUUUCUUCAUGCUCCUGUGUAGAACAACUUGUCAGAUGGUGCAUUGGAGACUGAUGUGUUCCUGUCCUGUCUUUUCACAAUACUAUUGCAGAUAUGGUUCUAUUGUCUAAGAAUUAAGAUUAUACAUUCUUUGUAUUAAGGACUGGUUAUUAUUUUAUAGUAUACAUAAGGCUUUUCAUCUUUGAGUCGGAUACGGUGGAUGACUCAAGUCGGUCCCUGGAGAAGAUGCCUUCAUACUGAGCAAUAAGCUUGGGUGACAUUCUGAAGAGCAGACUGGACCUUACUGGGGUUCUCAGCAUGGCUGGAAUAGAGCUCUAGGUCUUCUAGGGCUAGGCAUGGGUGAACAUCAGCCAACUUGGUGUUACGCCGGAGAACAAUAGGGUGGUGACUUUAACCAUAUCUACAUGUACAUACUACCUCAUUCAGCCAACUAACUAACCAGUGUCUGUAUGUAGCCUCACUACUGUUAUUUUUUACUGUUGUUUUUAUUUCUUUACUUACCUAUUGUUCACCUAAUACCUUUUUUGCACUAUUGGUUAGAGCCUGAUAGUAAGCAUUUCACUGUAAGGUGAAAUGGAAUACCUGUUGUAUUCGGCGCACGUGACAAAUAAACUUUGAUUUGAUUUAGUCUAAAGAAGGCCAGUUGUAUUGCUUCUUUAAUCAGGACAUCAGCUGUGCUAACAUAAUUGCAAAAGGGUUUUCUAAUGAUCAAUUUUAAAAUGAGAAACUUGGAUUAGCUAACACAACGUGCCACUGGAACACAGGAGUGAUGGUUGCUGAUAAUGGGCCUCUGUACGCCUAUGAAGAUAUUCCAUUAAAAAUCUGCUGUUUCCAACUACAAUUGUCAUUUACAACAUUAACAAUGUCUAGACUGUACUUCUGAUCAAUUUCAUGUUCUUUUAAGGGACCAAAAAUGAGCUUUUCUUUAAAAAACAAGGACAUUUCUAUGUGACCCCAAAUCUUUCAACAGUAGUGUAUGUGACCACACAUUUUCAGUGACAAAAUACAACAAGUCAAGGCACAGAUCAUCUCUUGCUGACUCUCACCUCUCAGCAAUCAGAAACUAUACCUGAUUUCGCUGCUCUAGUCAAUGCCCGUCAGAGACUUCACUCCUCACACUGAUUGAGUAGUUUAAAGGUAAUGUUGAGCUCUCUUUCCUGUGUUUUUUGUGCAUACCCUUUAAUAAGUAUAUUUUAGCUAUUAAAUUUACUUUUGAUGCUUAAGUAUAUUUAAAACAACAUACUUUGACUCAAUUAGGAUUUUACUGGGUGACUGUCACUUUUACUUGAGUAAUUUUCUAUCAAGGUAUCUUUACUUUUACUCAAGAAGAGAGUUCUGUCACUGAAUGCACAGUGUACUUUUUCCUUCCUGUAGUUCAUUGCAUGUUUAAUAAUGGAAAUACCUACCAAAAGGAGAACAUGGUUGUGGUUUAUUUCUGUGCAUGUUAAAAAAGUUAAAUAAGUAGCAUAUCUGGAUGUGAUUUACAGUAGAUAUAUCCGUCAACACAGUCAUACACAUGAUGUAUAAUCCUGUAAUAUGAUUCUGGCCCGCAAAGGCAAAUAUAUAUUCUAAUGUGGCCCUCCAUGGAAAAAAUUUGCCCAGACCUGGUUUAGCCGGAGGAGAGUUAUUUAUUAUUAGGAUCUGACUCCUGACCCACUUCCAUAGACCUACAUGGUAGUUAUGACAGAGACAACCCAGAAUGUCAAGUAAUAAUUUGUCAAGAAAACCAUCAAUAAAGAUUAUGUGGUUGAAUGAGAA